GCGUCUCUAGCUAUGUUGAGACGCGGCAGACGGCUCAGUAACACGUGGCUAACCUACCCUCAGGACGAGGACAAACCCGGGAAACUGGGGCUAAUACUCGAUAGGUGAGGAUGUCUGGAAUGAUUUCUCACUCAAAGGGCUUUAGAAACAUGCUUCUAGAGUCGCCUGGGGAUGGGGCCGCGUCCGAUCAGGUUGUUGGUGAGGUAACGGCUCACCAAGCCUAUAACCGGUACGGGCCGUGAGAGCGGUAGCCCGGAGAUGGGUACUGAGACAAGGACCCAGGCCCUACGGGGCGCGGCAGUCGCGAAAACUCCGCAAUGCACGAAAGUGUGACGGGGCUACCCCGAGUGCCGUCCGCUGAGGAUGGCUUUUCCUUGGUGUAACUAGCCGGGGGAAUAAGGAGAGGGCAAGACUGGUGUCAGCCGCCGCGGUAAUACCAGCUCUCCGAGUGGUAGGGAUGAUUAUUGGGCUUAAAGCGUCCGUAGCCGGCUUAGUAAGUCCCCUGUUAAAUUCAGCGACCUAAUCGUUGAGCCGCGGGAGAUACUGCUAGGCUAGGAGGCGGGAGAGGUCGACGGUACUUCCGGGGUAGGGGUGAAAUCCUAUAAUCCCGGGAGGACCACCAGUGGCGAGGGCUGUCGACUAGAACGCGCUCGACGGUGAGGGACGAAAGCUGGGGUAGCGAACCGGAUUAGAUACCCGGGUAGUCCCAGCCGUAAACGAUGCGGGCUAGGUGU
rnacentral:rRNA from 1 species